AACCUCCCCAGCCAUCAACCUUCAAUAGCAUCAGUCGGGCUUCAACAACACCCUCCGGACUUCCACAGGAUUCCCCAGACUCCUCCAACAGACGAACCUCCCCAACGCCACCCGAAGUCCAUCACCGACCGACCCUUUGCCAGAUUCUUCAUGAAAUCAGACUUCCCCAAUAGAAGGUCCCCAUCCAAGCUUCUACAACAGAUGACUCCUGCCUGCAGCAUCAGUGCUCUAGGCACCCAACAAUAGUAGACCCAUCAGCAAUCUCGAAAAUAUCCGAGCUUCUCCUAGGAUCGACAAGAUAGAGAGCCAUUUCUCUCUAUCAGACAUCUCAACCGAACUUCAGCCAAC
rnacentral:lncRNA from 1 species